rnacentral:rRNA from 1 species
AUUGAGCGCUGGCGGCAGGCCUAACACAUGCAAGUCGAACGGUAACAGGAAGCAGCUUGCUGCUUCGCUGACGAGUGGCGGACGGGUGAGUAAUGUCUGGGAAGCUGCCUGAUGGAGGGGGAUAACUACUGGAAACGGUAGCUAAUACCGCAUAAUGUCGCAAGACCAAGGAGGGGGACCUUCGGGCCUCUUGCCAUCGGAUGUGCCCAGAUGGGAUUAGCUUGUUGGUGGGGUAACGGCUCACCAAGGCGACGAUCCCUAGCUGGUCUGAGAGGAUGACCAGCCACACUGGAACUGAGACACGGUCCAGACUCCUACGGGAGGCAGCAGUGGGGAAUAUUGCACAAUGGGCGCAAGCCUGAUGCAGCCAUGCCGCGUGUAUGAAGAAGGCCUUCGGGUUGUAAAGUACUUUCAGCGGGGAGGAAGGGAGUAAAGUUAAUACCUUUGCUCAUUGACGUUACCCGCAGAAGAAGCACCGGCUAACUCCGUG